UACGUAGGGUGCAAGCGUUAAUCGGAAUUACUGGGCGUAAAGCGUGCGCAGGCGGUUUUGUAAGUCUAAUGUGAAAUCCCCGGGCUCAACCUGGGAAUUGCAUUGGAGACUGCAAGGCUAGAAUCUGGCAGAGGGGGGUAGAAUUCCACGUGUAGCAGUGAAAUGCGUAGAGAUGUGGAGGAACACCGAUGGCGAAGGCAGCCCCCUGGGUCAAGAUUGACGCUCAUGCACGAAAGCGUGGGGAGCAAACAGG
rnacentral:rRNA from 1 species